rnacentral:rRNA from 1 species
CCUACGGGUGGCAGCAGUGGGGCAUAUUGGACAAUGGGGGGAACCCUGAUCCAGCGACGCCGCGUGAGUGAAGAAGUAUUUCGGUAUGUAAAGCUCUAUCAGCAGGGAAGAAAGAAAUGACGGUACCUGCCUAAGAAGCCCCGGCUAACUACGUACCAGCAGCCGCGCGAAUACGUAGGGGGCAAUCGUUAUCCGGAUUUACUGGGUGUAAAGGGAGCUUAGACGUUUACGCAAGUAUGGAGUGAAAGGCGGGGGACCCACCCCCGGACUGCUUUGGAAACUGUAUAACUGGAGUGCAGGAGAGGUAAGUGGAAUUCCUAGGGUAGCGGUGAAAUGCGUAGAUAUUAGGAGGAACACCAGUGGCGAAGGCGGCUUACUGGACUGUAACUGACGUUGAGGCUCGAAAGCGUGGGGAGCAAACAGGAGUAGAUACCCUAGUAGUC